UCCAGACUCCUACGGGAGGCAGCAGUGGGGGAUAUUGCACAAUGGGGGGAACCCUGAUGCAGCGACGCCGCGUGGGUGAAGGAGCGUUUCGGCGCGUAAAGCCCUAUCGGCAGGGAAGAAGGAGGACGGUACCUGACUAAGAAGCCCCGGCUAACUACGUGCCAGCAGCCGCGGUAAUACGUAGGGGGCAAGCGUUAUCCGGAUUUACUGGGGGUAAAGGGGGCGCAGACGGCAGCGCAAGCCAGGAGUGAAAGCCCGGGGCCCAACCGCGGGACUGCUCUUGGAACUGCGCGGCUGGAGGGCAGGAGGGGCAGGCGGAAUUCCUAGGGUAGCGGUGAAAUGCGUAGAUAUUAGGAGGAACACCAGUGGCGAAGGCGGCCUGCUGGGCUUUUACUGACGCUGAGGCUCGAAAGUGUGGGGAGCAAACAGGAUUAGAUACCCCGGUA
rnacentral:rRNA from 1 species